CUGUUAAGGUUGUUACACGGGGAAACUUCAAGUCGAAGCAAAAAAAGUCAAAUUGAUGGGGGAUGUUAUGUCUUUAUUUACUUUCCAAAUGAUUUGAGGAACUGUAAGCUGAAAACUUGCAACUUGAACAAAAGAUUGCACAAAAAACAAAUUUAACACUCGCAGAAAUCGUAAAUGAGAGAGAUUUCCAAGCUCUGGUGCUAAUACUCCUUCCAAGUAACAUCCAUUGAGAUCCCUAUACAAAGAACAAAAAUAUAUAAAUCAAGAAUAUACCUUUUGUACAUCAAAGUAAUAAUGUUUUUCGGCAUCAGUAGGUCUAUAAUUCAAGAAUAAGACCACUAAGGACCAAGAAAAAAUUAGAAGAACAAAUUUUCAGAAAUGGAAUAUGUUUGGUUUGGACAUAAAGUUUGUCUGGCAUCAACUCUUCUACUUUUGGCUGAAUUCUUCCAGUUUGUCAACGGUUGUUGUUUGUACAAUUGAAAUAAGAUCCGAAAAAUAGACAUUUACAAAUAGUUUAUAAAAAGUUUUUAAACAAACCAAGAUAGAAAAGGGAAACUUACAAAAUUAUCUUCGACUCGUGCAAACUUCGUUGCCUUUAUACAGAUACAGAGUCUCUGUAUAUCUUCCUAUUUAUUUGCCUGAAAAUUUCUCAAUUCUUGCUCCGAAAUUUUCUCAGAAAAUCUCCGGAAAAUGAUGUUCAAAGCACUCCUUGCAGAAGAAAAACAAAAGGGUAUUCUGAAAAUUCGAUUUUGUCGACUAUAGUUGAGAUUUGUGGAGAAUUUUAUCAAGCAUUUGCUGAAAAUUUUAUCAGA
rnacentral:lncRNA from 1 species